rnacentral:rRNA from 1 species
AUUGAACGCUGGCGGCAUGCUUUACACAUGCAAGUCGAACGGCAGCGCGGGCUUCGGCCUGGCGGCGAGUGGCGAACGGGUGAGUAAUAUAUCGGAACGUACCCAAGAGUGGGGAUAACGUAGCGAAAGUUACGCUAAUACCGCAUACGAUCUAAGGAUGAAAGCAGGGGAUCGCAAGACCUUGUGCUCCUGGAGCGGCCGAUAUCUGAUUAGCUAGUUGGUGGGGUAAAGGCCCCACCAAGGCAACGAUCAGUAGCUGGUCUGAGAGGACGACCAGCCACACUGGAACUGAGACACGGUCCAGACUCCUACGGGAGGCAGCAGUGGGGAAUUUUGGACAAUGGGGGCAACCCUGAUCCAGCAAUGCCGCGUGAGUGAAGAAGGCC